UUCCUGAGUUGCUGGGGAGAUUUUGUUUUUCUGUGUUCAUCUGGGAUAUUUCCAGAAAAGGGAUGAGACCGGAAGAUUUUUGUAUAUAGUUAAAUAUCAUACCUUCUCUCCAAUUAUUUGAGAACUGGAUGUUUUGCAGAAGCUGAAUCUGAAGUUAGGGUAAAUACUUUCCAAUAUGGUUUGAUUUUUUGGUUGCUUUUCUUGCUGGCAUGUUACAUAAUUUAGUGCUAUUAAAAACAUCAGAUUAUUACCUUGUAUAAAAGUUAGUAGCAUGCAAUGCAAGCAACCCCAACAACUAAUACAAGGUUAAUGAAGAAUAAUAAAAAAAUAAAUCCAUUUAUGUUAAUAAGUAAUUGAAAGACCAAUUAUUUAGUUAAAAAGUAAUUAUGGAUGUUUAACUAAUUAUGUAGGCAAGAAAGGUCCCCAUAAUUAACUUAUAGUAUUGUAAAAUAUCUGAUCUACAGCGACCCAUGUUAAAAACACAUUCUUGUUUUCAUCAGCACUAAGCACAAACAUAUGUUUUGUAUAUAGGGAUGAUGUAUGGGCUGGCUUCUUUGGGGUCCUGCUUCUUAUUGGUUUACUAAACAAGGGACUGCUGUGACUCUUGUAACAGUUUCUGAGUCCUCUGGUCCCAUAUUAAUGCAGGUGUUAACAGACUGUUAUGUGGUCAUCCAUUAUACAGGGAUUAAUGAAGUUUUGCUCCUUUUCCCCUGUCUAGCACAGUCCUCUUCCACAUGCCUGUUGUGGCAUCCAUAUAGAACCUCUUUACAAUACUUGCCCUAGAGAGAAAGAAUUUCUUGAGGGAAAGCUGAGUGGUAUUUCUACACCAUUUACAUUUGAGGAUUGUCUCAUCAAUAGCUGAGUGAGCCAGAAAAAAGGGGAGGGGAGGGAGGUCUUUGUCUCUGAUGCUAUAUGAAGUUUCUGUCAGUGAGAUUCCUCACUGCUGUCUACACACAUGGGUACAAAAAUUAAAAACCAAAACUAAACAGCAACAACAAAACCACCAAGCACACUAUCUAUAUGAAGCAUACACGUAUCUCUGCCUUUAUUUUUGUCAAGAUUUCACAUGGCUGCUGUCUUUUUAAAGGUACUGUGCAAGAAAUGCUUUAGGCCGCAGCCUCCCUCAGCCACCACCAUUUUAACCAAGCUAGGAAAGCAAUGAUCACAUUGCCUUGCAACACUCUGAGUUUGGGCUAUGUGGUGUACUUCCCUGGCAAGAGGGAGCAAAUGUGCUGAAUGGUGGUAUCUCCAUUGUCUCACAGUUAGUUACAAGGUCAUGAUUAAAAGAGACACAGGAUCAGACAGGGUUCACAACUUGCUCUGACUCAGUGCUGACUGCAUUAAGAAAUCUGUGGUGGGAUCAUUUCACUUGGAGGUCUAUGCUGCAAUGUUUGCAGAAGUGCCUGUGAAAUAGAAAACACUGUUCAAUACUGGUACUUACAGGAAGAUGACUUCAAUUUAUACUUCGGUCACCAGUAGAGUGGAUUUUUGGCUUUCCCUGUCUAUUCUCACCUCCUGAUUCUACACAAGCCACCACCCUCGAGGCACAGAAAACAAUGGGAUAGCACAUUUUCCAUGCGGACAUAUUGGAAAGCCACACACGAACUGGUCUUCUUCAGCUCUCCUGUGUGACGCCACACGCAAAGGGGGCAGAUAAGAAUCCAUGAUACUGCUCAAUCUUAAUGUAUCAAAACCUAGUAUGGAAAUACCCUAGAAGUGAGAAGGGCCAAUAAAAAGAAAUCUCAGUGGCUGGAGGGACAUGGAAGAAAAUCUAGAAAUAUUUUGGGUUCAGCUGAAUUUGAUAUGAUUAAAGCAUUAACAUUCCAGACCCCACAAAAGAUCCCCAUGGAAGACUUAAUGUUUAACAACAAAGUCCUUAAAAAGAUAUUUUUUAUAUCAUUUAUAGGGAUAAAUCAAAUUUUCUGUAUACAUAAUGAGGUUAAAGUACCGUAAUCAGAUCGAGCAGGUAGAAGACUUAAACCUGUAAGAGAUAUAGCUGAAAUGUGGUGGACAGUUUCAAAAUAUCUUACAUUUACAUUAUGUUGGCCACUGUAUUGAUAAUUUUCUGCCUGUUUGUGCUAUCAUAAUAAAUCUAACCUCUAUUCUGAUUUGUGAUAACAAGAUGAGGAAUAAGAGCCGAUAGAAAGAUAAAAAUAACUGAUAUUCUCAGCUUUUUAUCUAUUUUUGCUUUUGGUUGUUACUAGUUUUGAUUACUUUCCCAUGAAGCAUAAAGAUUUUACUGUUUUAUAUUUUGUCUCUCUGAAAGUUAACUCACCCAAUUCUGUAACUGGUCAAACAUCCUUCUUUUAAAAGGUCCUGUUAAAAAUUUCUGAGGCCUCAUGUUCUCAUGGAGCCUGCAGAACAGGAAGAGAUGGUGUACCAGUGGCACAACCUUUCCCUCCUGCAGUGGGACCUUGAUGUACUUAGAUCAUGUGUGACCAACCCCUUCUCUUUUUGCAAGGGAAAUUCUGAAGUGAUGUUGGGUCAUCCUUGGAGUGGUGGGAAAUAUUCACUUACAAGUAAUUUUCUCUGCUGAGUCAACAACACACAGUUCACAACAAUGGGAAGUAAUUAGGUCUUGAAAUUAAUGGAUUUCCCUGUUACCUCAAAAUGCAAUCUUUUUUUUUUUUUUUUUUUUUUUUUCCUAGCCUUUGAUAGAACUGCUUUAUUAUCAAGCUUUGGACUGCUCAUUAUACCUAUUGUCUCAAAUUGGGUGCUGGCAGAUACUGAUGAGUUUUAUUAAUGAUGGAAUAACUAAUGAGAAAAUGUAGACCUUGUAGUUUUUUAAAUUAAUCACAUUUACCUUAGAAUACUUCUGCCUUUUUUUUUUUUUUUGAUAGAAUAUAAUUCAGCUAAGACAUUUUUCUGCUGAUUUGAUUUUUUAUCAGAUAUUUUUUCUUCUGCUCUUGAAAUCAAUUACUUGGAUAACAUAAUAGGCCCCCAUUAAUCUCUGUGGAGCACAGUACAAUCUGUUUCACUUCAAGCCAAGGAGGCCCUAUUGGUGUAAAUCAUGGAGUCAGUCAUUUUGUUGCUAUUUAUAAAAUUAGUCACCUGCAACAUCAUCCUGGAUGAAGUCCAUUGAAUGAAACAGUGUUGGAACAGUCUAUGUACAAGACUUAGUGUUUCACUGUCAAGCCUGCAAGGUGCACAUACAUGUAUCUUAAUAUAAAAAUGGGAAGUCCCUUUCCAUUCAUUUUGAACCUAUUACAAAAACAAAACAAAAAUUAAUGAAAGCAACUUAAAAAUGAAAUAUGUUUUUCAUAAAAUUUUCAUUUUUAUAGAGAGAUAAAAUUUUAUCUCUCUAGACUCCUUCCAGUUAUUGAAAAUAGCAAAAUUGCAAUUAGAAACUUGGAAAAUUAAUAUCAACAUUUUGUGAGUCUAAAGGAUUAAAAAGAAAGGAAUCAUAUUUUCACUUUUGUAGUACAAAAUCAAUCUAGCAUAUCAUCCAAGUUAUACAAACCAAGAAAAAAAUAUCCUCAGAAACUUAAUCUAGUAUAUGACUUCUGUUUGCUCAGAAUAAUCAUAACUUACAUUCCUAUUUUCUGUAAGUAGUGUAGUUAUGACUUUCUCCCACUUCAUUUUUGGUAGGCAAGAUGAAAGACAGAAAGAUUUUGCUGUUUUCUUUUACUUGUGAUGACUACUGCCUUAGUAGUUUUGUUUUUCUGGAAGAAUAUACACAAUUCUAUCAUGACAAGAUGUGCUGUAGCAUUAAUAGUAACAAAGAAAAUUCAAUUCUUAUUCAAAGUAAUAUAAAAUGAGAGUAAUUCUUUUUCAGAGAUGUUAAAUUUACAUUCAUAUCAGUGGAAAACAGAACUUGUUCAACACGCUUCCCAUGUAAUAGAAGUUCUUUUCCUCCUAGUAGCUACUUGACCUUAUGAGGUAGAAGUUGCAUUGUGCCACUAACAGGUGCCAAUUUUGCUGGGCAUGAGUCAGGUAAGCAGUACCAUGCUAAUGCUGUUAGCAUAAAGGCCUGCCAGCUGCUUCAGUUCAAAGCAAAAUGGCUUAAAUGUAAAAUAUGUAUGUAUAUUUUUAUACAUAUAUAUAUGUAUAUAUAUACACAAUUUAGAAGUAGAAUUAUAUAGAAACAGUUUACUAUAACCUUGUGCAAUAAAGAGCUGAAAACUGAACUGCUGAUGCAGACAUAGCUGGACUUGUUUUAAUGAACUUGUUAAAUGCAUGGGCAAUUCUCGGUGUUGGAAUAUGAUUGUAAAGAUUUGGAUGUUUCCAGGUAAUUCCUGGCAAACAAACAAAAACAACAACAACAACAACAACAACAACAACAAAACACCGACUAACCAACCAAAACAAAAACAAAAGCAAAACCACCUACAAACAUUGAUUCUCAUUUGACUUAAUAUAACUACUCAUUAUGAGCAGGAAAUUCCUUCUUUCAAGAAAAAAGGAGGUUCUGCUGGAAAAUGUUACUUUAUCAUUUACUUCGAUUAGUGAAUUCCCCUAAAAAUCCUGGAGCCAGUAAAGAAAUGCCAACAGUCAACAAGUGUUCUUGGAAGUGUUAAAUUUGAUGAUGAGCUGACACCACUUAGACUGGAACCCUGAUUUAUGCACUAAUUUUGUUGUCCAACAGUAGGUGGUAACACUAGUUAGAUCUGACUAAUCGAUGAAGUUAUGGUUCAUGCUUGAGUCACAAAAAAGAUAAAGGGUUAAAAAUUCAGGCCAUCUAAAGUCAAAGUAGAACAAAGAAGCAACGAAGAAGAACAAACAAGUUUAAUUAAAUUUUAUUUUUCUCGAAAUAUUUCAGACUGUGCAAAAUCAAAUACUGUGUCUGGUUUUCAGAUUUUUGUAUG